AAAGGAAAGAAAAAGGAGAAAAAAAAAAUCCCGAAAUUUGCUUUCUGUGUAGAGCAAAAUCUAACCCUAAUUUCUUGUUUCUCGAUCGGAUCAUGCAACUCGGAUCCUCUGAUCUGGUUGAAUUUGAGUUCGAUUUCUGAAAGCAGCGGCGUAUUCCGAUCGAUUCGGCGGCGGAACGAUGACGCGGCGGUGUUCACAUUGCAGCCACAAUGGCCAUAACUCUCGGACUUGUCCGAAUCGCGGUGUCAAGCUCUUUGGAGUCCGAUUGACCGACGGUUCCAUCCGGAAGAGUGCUAGUAUGGGGAAUCUGAACCACUAUGCAGGAUCCGGGUCGGGUGCUCUGCAAGGCGGGUCGAACAAUCCGGCUUCUCCCGGAGAGACUCCUGAGCAUGGCGUUGCGGCUGACGGCUAUGCGUCGGAGGAUUUCGUUCCUGGCUCAUCUUCUAGUUGCCGUGAGAGGAAGAAAGGUGUUCCAUGGACUGAGGAGGAGCAUAGGAUGUUUUUAUUGGGAUUACAGAAACUUGGAAAAGGAGACUGGCGUGGGAUAGCACGCAAUUAUGUUGUAUCUAGGACACCUACACAGGUGGCAAGCCAUGCCCAAAAGUAUUUCAUAAGGCAGACCAAUGUAUCAAGACGAAAGAGGCGUUCCAGUUUGUUUGAUAUUGUUGCUGACGAACAUGCUGAGAAUUCAAUUGUGCAGCAAGACUUCCUAUCUGUCAACAGUUCGCAUGCUGAAUCACAAAGCAAUAACCCAUUGCCUACACCUCCUACUGUGGAUGAAGAAUGCGAAUCGAUGGAUUCCACCAACUCAAAUGAUGGAGAAACAGCACCUGCAGAGCCAGAUGGUCCGCAAUGCUGUUAUCCAGUGGUAUACCCUGCAUAUGUUGCACCAUUCUUUCCAUUUUCUAUACCAUUCUACUCGGGAUACGGUGCAGAGACCACUAAUAAGGAGACACAUGAGGUUCUUAAGCCAACAGCCGUGCAUUCAAAGAGUCCUCUCAAUGUUGAUGAGCUGAUUGGUAUGUCGAAACUAAGUCUGGGAGAAUCGAUUGGUCAUGCUGGCCCCUCUUCUCUUUCACUGAAACUACUUGAAGGAUCAUCUAGACGGUCUGCUUUCCAUGCAAAUCCAGCUUCUGGCAGUGAAAACAUGAAUUCUGGUGGCAGUCCAAUCCAUGCUGUUUAAUGGAUAGUAUAUUUCUGAACUUCAGAUUGUAGGUUAUAAUUACAGGUUAUUGUCAAUAUACAACAAAAUAAUGUGCAGUCUGGUUUGGAUUUAUUAAUAUUUUCAUGUUAGGUCAAGUCUUUUUCUCCCCAUCCCGACCGUCCCAUCCCUCUCUACCCCGUCUCUCCUGUGUUAACUAACUUGGUUGUAACUUGUAGGUUCUAGCAUCUUCUGUUAGAAAUCGUCCAUUCUGACUCUUAAAGAUUGUAUGUGGUUUAUCUUCAGUUUCUGGACUUGAUGUUUAUUUAU
rnacentral:misc_RNA from 1 species